GACGAACGCUGGCGGCGUGCUUAACACAUGCAAGUCGAACGAUGAAGCCGGAGCUUGCUCUGGUGAAUUAGUGGCGAACGGGUGAGUAACACGUGAGUAACCUGCCCUUGACUCUGGGAUAACUGCUAGAAAUGGUAGCUAAUACCGGAUACGACCCUCGGAGGCAUCUCCAGGGGGUGGAAAGAAUUUCGGUCAAGGAUGGGCUCGCGGCCUAUCAGCUAGUUGGUGAGGUAACGGCUCACCAAGGCGACAACGGGUAGCCGGCCUGAGAGGGUGACCGGCCACACUGGGACUGAGACACGGCCCAGACUCCUACGGGAGGCAGCAGUGGGGAAUAUUGCACAAUGGGCGCAAGCCUGAUGCAGCAACGCCGCGUGAGGGAUGACGGCCUUCGGGUUGUAAACCUCUUUUAGUAGGGAAGAAGCGAAAGUGACGGUACCUGCAGAAAAAGCACGGGCUAACUACGUGCCAGCCGCCGCCGUAA
rnacentral:rRNA from 1 species